rnacentral:rRNA from 1 species
CCUGGUUGUUCAUGCUAGUAGCACGUGCCAAUCUCAAAGAUUAAGCCAUACACAUUUAAGUACACAUGGCCGGUACAGUGACACAGUGAAUGGCUUAUUGAAUUAGUUAUGGUUCCUUUACUCCGUUACUUGGAUAACUGUUGUAAUUCUACAGCGAAUACAUGCCGACAAGUGCUGACCUCCUGGGUUGUAUGCAUUUAUCAGAAAAAGUCCAAUUAGGGCUCGCCCGGCAGCCUUGGUGACUAGCUAAGCUUGGACAGAUCACACGUCCUCAUUACGGCCACAAUACAUUCGGGUUUCUGCCCUAUCAACUUCCAAUGGUACUUGCUGGGCUACCAUGUUUACCACGGUUACCAGUUAAUCAGGCUUCGAUUCCAGAGAGGAAGCCUGAGAAAGGGCUACCACAUCCAAGGAAGGCAGCAGGGGUGCAAAGUACCCUCUCACGAAUCGGGCAGGUAGUGACAGGAAAUAGCAAUACAGCUCUGUAAUUGGAGCAAGUGCACUUUAAAUACAAUAACAAGGAUUCAUUGGAGGGCAAGUCUGUUGCCAGCAGCCCCGGUAAUUCCAGCUCCAAUAGCGUAUAUUAAAGUUGCUGCAGCUCAUAGUUGGAUCUUGGGAUUGAGCUGGCGGUCCUCUGCGAGGUGAGCUAAUGCCGGUACCAGCCCCUGCCUCUCCGUGCCCCCUUGAUGCUCUUGACUGAGGGUCCUAGGGGUGCAAAGCGUUUACUUUGUUCAAAGCAGGCUGGUUGCCUGAAUACCUCAGCCAGGAAUGAUGGAACACGACUCCCGUUCUAUUUUGUUUGUUUUCGAAACUGGGGCCAUGAUUAAAAAGGACGGCCAGGGACAUUCGUAUAGUGCUGCUAGAGGGGAAAUUCUUGGACUGUCGCACUUCUGAUUAUUAACGAUCCCAACUAAUAAUCCAGCGAUGUUAUUCCCAUGACCCUCUGAGCAGCUUCUGGGAAACCAAUGUCUUUGAGUUCUGGGGGGAGUAUGGUUGUAAAGCUGAAACUUAAAGGAAAUGACGGAAGGUCACCACCAGGAGUGGAGCCUGUGGCUUAAUUUGACUCAACACAAGAAACUUCAACCAGCCCGGACACAGAAAUGAUUGACAGAUUGAUGGCUUUUUUGCAAUUCUAUGGGUGGUGGUGCAUGGCAGUUCUUAGUUUGUGGAGCGAUUUUUCUGGUUUAUUCUGAUGACAAACAUAAAUUCUCCAUACUAACUAGUUACAUGACCCAAGCGGUCAGGGUUCAACUUCUUAGAGGGACAAGUGGCAUUCAGCCACAUGAGAUCGAGCAAUAACAGGCCUGUGAUGCCCUUAGAUGUCUGUGGCUGCAUGUGCGCUACACUGAACGGAUCAGUGUGUGUCUAUGCUUUACCGACAGGUGCGGGUAACCACUGCACCCCAUCUGUGAUAGGGAUUGGGGAUUGUACUUAUUUACCACAAUCUAGGAAUUCCCAGUAAAGUGUGGGUCAUAAGCUCACAUUGAUUAAGUCCCUGCACUUUGUACAUACUGCCCAUAGUUACUAAUGGGGUUCACAACAUCCCUGGCAGAGCACUGAGCAGACGAUCAAACUUGAGUAUCUAGAGGAACAAGGUUUCCCUAUGUGAACCUGCAGAAG